AGUACCACCAUACACAGCUUUUGUUGUUGUAAGACGAGCUGGGUGUGGUGGCACAUGC
ensembl:miRNA Mir7669 microRNA 7669